UGCAGUCGAACGAGAAUCUGCGGAAAGAGGAUUCGUCCAAUUGAAGCAGAGGACAGUGGCGGACGGGUGAGUAACGCGUGAGGAACCUGCCUUUCAGAGGGGGACAACAGUUGGAAACGACUGCUAAUACCGCAUGACAUAUAGAUGUCGCAUGGCAUUUAUAUCAAAGAUUUAUCGCUGAAAGAUGGCCUCGCGUCUGAUUAGCUAGUUGGUGAGGUAACGGCCCACCAAGGCGACGAUCAGUAGCCGGACUGAGAGGUUGAACGGCCACAUUGGGACUGAGAUACGGCCCAGACUCCUACGGGAGGCAGCAGUGGGGAAUAUUGGGCAAUGGGCGCAAGCCUGACCCAGCAACGCCGCGUGAAGGAAGAAGGCUUUCGGGUUGUAAACUUCUUUUGUCAGGGACGAGUAGAAGACGGUACCUGACGAAUAAGCCACGGCUAACUACGUGCCAGCAGCCGCGGUAAUACGUAGGUGGCAAGCGUUGUCCGGAUUUACUGGGUGUAAAGGGCGUGUAGCCGGGAGGGCAAGUCANAUGUG
rnacentral:rRNA from 1 species